rnacentral:rRNA from 1 species
GACGAACCGAGCGAACGUUAUUCGGAAUCACUGGGCUUAAAGGGUGCGUAGGCGGGCCCGUCAGUCAGGGGUGAAAUCCCACGGCCCAACCGUGGAAGUGCCUCUGAUACUGCGGGCCUGGAGGGGGGAUAGGGGCGUGCGGAACUUCCGGUGGAGCGGUGAAAUGCGUAGAUAUCGGAAGGAACACCGGUGGCGAAAGCGGCGCGCUGGAUCCCUACUGACGCUGAGGCACGAAAGCCAGGGGAGCAAACGGG